GAUUCAGCAGCCUAUUCUCUGCAGUACAAAAGCAACCAAUGAUGGGUGCGGUUACCUAUCCGACCGGCUUGUCCGGUCCAGUUACGAAAACAUUGGUUUUAAGAUAGAUAUGUAUUUCUUGAUUCCUCCAAUGAUUUUUGCUGGAAGUUGUUCAAAGCUCGGAGUUAUUGUUCUCAGGUUACAACGAUUAGAAAUGUGACUUCUUUCACGCGCUUCAUAGUCACAAAAACAUUAACAAAACAGCAUUGCACUGGUUUGAUUCUUAUAUCCAUGGGAAUUGUGUUGAAGAUGGUCCCUGAAAAUAAACUGACUCCUAGACGGUUUCCAAAGAUUCAAGAGCUUGUCUUCUCCGAUUUCUUUUCUUUCUUUUUUGUGAUUUCACUCAUAAAGGUUCAAAUUAGCAUUUUUUUUGGUAUUAUUGGAUUGCAAAAUCCAUAUGGUGUUUGGUUCUAGUGUGGCUCAAGCUUCCCUUUUCCGACUUCAGAUAGAACUCCACAACAGCUCAUCGGCAACGCUAUGGAUCAAAGGGAGUCAAAGGAAUGGAAAAAAUUAAUAGGGGUUGUGAUUAUGGUGGCGAUGUGGGAGACAUGGAAGAAUCGAAACGAGCAGACUCAAUAAUCAUCAUAUUCACUUCAUGAGAACGGCGGAGCUAAUCAAGAAAAAUUUGUUUCUUUGGAUCACAAGUAGAUCAAAGUCAUGGGCAAUGUGGACCGAGUCAUGGCGAGAAUAUCGGACUGGAAUCGUUGAAGAUGCUACACGUGUGGAAAUGGCUCAACGUUAACUUGGUUGGACAUGGUCUUACACAUAUUUCGAACUUGUUUGUUAUUUCUAUUUUAAAGGGUUUGAUCAAGUAUAGAUAACAACAACUGCUAUUAGCAGAAAACACACACUCUCUCUCGCGAACAUUAGCUCUCAAAGACACUUGCACUUUAGCAAACAUUGUACAACACUUGAUCAACUUCCAAAGUUGUAAACUCUUGUUAGUUUAAUACAUUUGAUAGUGAUAGUUUUCACUAUCCGAGGUUUUUUGUGCCGGAGAUCACAUUGAGAUCAAGGGCUUUUUCCUCGUACAAA